rnacentral:rRNA from 1 species
UACGUAGGGUGCAAGCGUUGUCCGGAAUUAUUGGGCGUAAAGAGCUCGUAGGCGGUCUGUUGCGUCGGCUGUGAAAACCCGGGGCUCAACCCCGGGCCUGCAGCCGAUACGGGCAGACUAGAGUUCGGCAGGGGAGACUGGAAUUCCUGGUGUAGCGGUGAAAUGCGCAGAUAUCAGGAGGAACACCGGUGGCGAAGGCGGCUCGCUGGGACGGUACUGACGCUGAGGCGCGAAAGCGUGGGGAGCAAACAGG